GAAAAAACAAGUUUCAUCCCUGUAACAGUAUCACAAUACACACAAAUGGAUAAAUCAUGGCCCUUUGUUUAUGAUUGAUGCAAAAAAUAAAGAAAAUGCUGCUAAUAUUUUCAAGGUUCUUCCCAGGAAUUAAGGAUAAGAUUCCUAGAAGGUAUUGCAGUUGGUAUCACAAAACAUUUGAACUAUCAAAGAAAGGUUAAACGUAUAAAGUUAAGAAUAAGAAAUUCAAAUCAUUUCACUCUUUUAUACAGCAUGUAACUCUACUAGUACCCCUCCUUUCUGUAAGAUUAUCAAAGAAAAAUAAGAUCCAAAAUUUGAAAUUACAUAGCACAAUCAUUUUCUACUUCCUUGGGAAAUGUCUCUUUUUUAUGCUAUAAUCUCUGAAGCUCCAUAAAAAUUUAUAAAAAAAAACUAUUUUAUUAUCUUUACAAAGAUCCAGCUGCAGUAAGCUUAAAGCAGAAGAUCUUUGCCUAUCAUCUCAAUUAGUUAGUCU
rnacentral:misc_RNA from 1 species